GCUGAAGAAAGAAAGAAAGAAAAACGAUCACUGGCCAUGAAAGAGAAGACAUCAGUGUUUCCAGGAAGUGGAACUUCCUAGCUCUUAUUUACCAACUCUCAAUACUUCCAGUAAUUUUCUGCCAAAAAGUAAGCGGCCUGACUUCCUCUUUGCACUAGUGAAGCUCACCAGGAACAGAAGUUAAACACAAAUUUUUCACACAUAUCCUAAUGGCUAUGCCCCCCUCAUAGUCCCUGGAGCAGAAACAAGAAAGGAGCAAUAAAGCUUGAGGGAGAAUGGUUCCCCAUUUCUUUUGAAAAGGCACUGGAGUCAGAGGUCUUCUCUGUUAUUUUACAUGCAUAAUUACCUCAAACUAGGAGCUAGUUACACUGAAGCAAAAGUUAACAGAAAUUACAGCAUUCCCCCCCUUCCCAUGAUCCAUAUUCUCUUCCCCUUCUCAUCCAUCACCCCCUUUUCUCUCUCAAAAGAGUAAGUGUUGAAAUUCUCCUCUGAAAGUUUUUAAACAGGUGCCAUUCGUGACACCACUUGCUCUCUCCUGAAUUCUUAUAUCUGACUGCAUAUGUAUGAAAAUGUGUGGGUUUAGGAAAUGUUAUUUGAGGGAUUGGAAGUCAGUGUACUUACCCACUUUGAGGCACUACUUAGUCCACUCAAGGUGAAGAUGGGUAGACAGAAUCCCAAAGGACUGAUAAACCAUUUGACAAUGAACGUAAUCAAGGAAAUAAUGACAGUUGUAGAUAGUAAGGGAGUGCAACUCUGUCAUUUUCAGACUAAUAGUUAAGAAGGCCUGAGUUGCCUUAUUUUCACCGGGUUAAUUUCAUGUUACUCUUAGAGAAGCUGCUAAUUUAUUAGGUUAGAUAGAUAGAAUCAGAAUUGUGCCCUAAGUAGAGAAACAGGGUUUGGUGAUGAGAAAAGGAGAAGCAUCAGAUAUUUAAAAGUUUCUGUGGAUAUCUAAUUACAUGAAAAUUGUAUCACUAUAGUUAGACCAUGAAAAAAAAUACAGCCUUAUUGUCUGUAACCUCAUAAAAAAGUUUGAUUACAUUUAAAUUACUGAAAGUCUGCACAGACCAAACCACUUAAGAAUGCUGAUAAGUGUAUUUAUAAAAUGUUCCUUUAUAAGCAAAGAGACGGAUUUGAAAUGUACUUCUGCAAUCAAAGCCAAAAUUCAAGUCAUCUCAAAGGUGCACCUCGGAAUGUAAAAGAGCUGGAUUUGCCAGCCUUCCAUUGUUAGGAUCCAGAAAUGUCUAUCUCCCCCAGAACAACUCUGUACAUAUUUACACAAGUUCAGUUGUAAAUAUCAUAGCUUAGAACCAAAGAGAAAUUUUCCAGUAAGAACUACUCAGAGAAGGUAACUCUGGGGGGGCUUGGAGUCAACCAAGGGGACUUGUGAGUUGUUCCCAUUCCCACUAACGUUGACAAGCUUCAGCAGAACACUUACAAAAGCUUGUGGCAUGCAGAUGCAGCAUGCAGUUUUACAAUAGCUAAAAAUGAACCAGAAAGUGAGGGUAAGAGGUCCCCCUACUAGAAUCCAGAAAGGUCACAAGUGUGAAGCUUUUCUCCCUAGUAUAUCAUAGCUGCUAAAUAAAUCUAGAAAGAACUUCAGAAGUUCUAACAUGUUGGAUUUGCACUUGAUAAUUUCAUUUAUAGAAAAAAUAAUUAAAAUUAAAUAUACCUGCAGCAGCAGUUCUUGUAGUUGGGCUCGCUUCUGUUUUAUCCUUUCAAUCCGCUUCUGUUUUUCUAUCUUAAAAUACAAAUGUAAAUGCAUCAAGAUAAUUACUUUGUUACCUUGUCUGUUCCACUGUGCCAAACUGAACAGGCUUUAGAGCUAUACCAGUGUGCUAGCACCGUUACAAAAAUCCGUACUUUCUUUGUAAAUGGUGGAGAAUUCCAUGGCAUGGUAAGUAAAUUUUGCACAAGUCUUUUCAGCCCUACCCGUUUGCCAUGUAUUUUCUUCUUUUUCAGACUUAUCACAUGGUCACAGGAGUUUCUCCAUAAAACAGGUCUGACAAACUGUAAUUUCUUUCUUUGUCAACAAUUUUAACUUCCGUAAAGAAUCCAUUAUUACAAGAGACCAUAUUAUUUCCCCACCCAUUCCUCCUCUUCUGUACUGUGCAUUGAGCGCCGAUGAGCACCAAACUAAACGUUUGCUUGAGAGGGUGCUUUGGGUUUGGGGGUUAUUUCCCUCCUGCCUUCCGCUUUUUUGGAAUUGUGCAUGUCCCUUCCAUUGUUCUAGCUGCAAGCUACUAGACAUAAAUGUGUGGAGACUGGGCUCAGGAUCAUCACCUGCAUCUUUCCAGUGAUCUCCACUUUUUGUUUGGACCACUCACUUGAGACUUGAUUAAACUAACAAGAUUUCAGCAACAAAAAGGGGGUAGAGGUAACCUUUUCUACAUGAGCGCAGAAUCCAUUUCUUGCAACAGUUUUUUUAGUGCCAGGUUAUGGGGCAAAGCUAUCCUCAACCUAAGUAUGCAGUGUUUGGGACAGCGAUAGUACUGGAUGCCUACUGACACUGCAGAUACAACCAACAGUAUUUUAAAUAGUGUUCUGGGGGAACACUAAAGAAUUGGACAGUAGUCAUCAUGUUUAAAAGGUAUUUUUCCUCAUCAUCCUGUUGGUGCCAGCACUGUAUCACUCCUCCCCAAAAUACUAAAACCUUAAAUUACCUUUUCAUUCAACCACUGAAACUAAAUGAUGCAGUCUUUUAAAACUUAGCUGCACUAAACCCCCUAUUUUAUUUACAAUGUUGCUUUGUGGUGGUUCCCCACACACAGACUUUAAUGUUUUAAAUGCUUCCUUCAGAACACAGUAGAUUACUUUCUUUUCUGGGACAAAUAUGUAACUCUUAAAACCAAUAAACAAUACAGAUAGUAUUUAGACACGGUUUCUACAUAACAAGCUUUUUUGUACUGAUUUCUCAUUUUUGUACUGGUAAUCUUAUUAUGGAAUUACACUGUAAGAAGAGUUGGCUGUUUAUACAGCUUCAAAAGCAAAAUUAAUUCUGAUUUUCACACCGUGAAAAUGCAGCUUUAUUUUCUGUUCUUUUCUAUCAUGUCACAGGAAGCAACAUUUUAAGAAAAUAUGCCUGGCUUCCAUUUUGUGCAUAUGUAAUUAGAGCCUGAAACAGUGAAUAGCAUACGACACAAUGAAAUUCAAGUUCCGCAUUUGUAACAAUAACCUAUGCUGAAGAUAAUGCAUUCAGGUGAAUGCAUGUAAAAUGUAGAUUUAUCCAUGAUUUAAAAAAAAAAAAAAAAAAAAAGAAUCCUGGAGUAUAAUGAUUGAGCAUAUGCAUACUCCUUGGGGGGAUGUAUUUUCCAAGUUGCUGUAAUGGACAAGGAUAGUAAAAGCUUUUUUCCUACCACAUCUAGAAAGACAACUGAUGUAAAUGAACCUGCACAAAAUAAAUUGUUCUGUACUAGAGAGGGACCCCACCUGGCUUUUAAGAUACUUAGUGUCACAAGUAUCACAAAUACAAUACGUAUUAAGGUGUAUUUACAGACAGUUAUUACAUCACUCUCUAGUAAGUACAGUAACUUGUGCUUUUUAUUUAUAGAGCAUUUGGCCUGAAGGACAAGCAACAUUUGUGCAUUAUCAUCUGUUAACAGCAAAUGUAUUUAUCAGGAAGUGAUAAAGCAAAGAGUAAUGAAUUAGAACUAUGAGGAAUAAAUAACACACAGCAUGGCUUUCAUAUGGAGGAGUGAAAACUGCUUGAAGUGGGAAGUGGACACCCAUCUCUCUGAAGGGCAGAUCCGAAGAAGUAAACCAGGUUCAAAACCAGGUCUCACAGCAGAUACUUAGGCAGCUAGAAACCUGACAACGUUAUGAAGGGAGCUGAACAAAAAUGAUGGACUUGAAGGUAUGUGCCGUGAAAGCCUGCGUGUAUUUGGUUGUGCGAUCCAGAACCCAUCAGCAGACGUCUUCCUCGGCAGCAACAGCGGGAUUUUUGUCUUUGGCAAUCCCUGUCCAUGGUGCUUAACCGCUCACACUGCGCAACUGGGGGUCCGAGUGCAGUGGAGCUGGGGCAGGGGGCUGGAAUGGCAGGGAAUGGAGAGCUGUCCCCUGGUCUGUAAGCCAGGCUGCCAGAGGUUGUAUGGAGCCCUGAGAAUGAAUAUGCUCUUGUCUCAUUUGAUUUUGGAAACAAUUUGAAACCUGUGAAGAGGAGUAAACAAUGGGUAAAGCAAGUAGUCUGGACUUGCAAUCCUCUGGAACCAUCUUCAGCAAGGGCUCACCGCUUAGGUUCUGCAAUACCACAGACCCUUCCUCACCUCUGUUCUUCAGAGGAAAAUAUGACCUAUUGUAUGGACUUCUGCAGGGAUCAAUAUUGAUUGGUCAGUCUGGAGAACAUCUUGCUCCUUUUUAUCAGCAAAACAAUAGUUGGGCUCAAUAGAAAUACUGUGUCUAGAUUUUGACUGUAUACAAACAGAAGGAUGGUGCUUCUCUGGGAAUCUCCAUCAAGUGCAUUUGGAUGAAGCUUAAGAAAGCUAAUGGGCAUUGAUUCUUUGGUUUAGCAAGCUGUGAACAGACACUAUACUAUAGCUUUUCCCUCCUCUGGGUACUGAAAGAACUUCAGCCUGGCCUCCACAUUUCACAAAAUUUGCAGAAACAAGGUAAUCUUUGACAACUCCUUUUUCAAAUCAGAACUAAGUGGAUUCAAAAGGUAUUUUGAAGAGAUAAACAGAUACUCAGAAAAAAAUCAAGCUUAAAAACUGCUCAGCUGGGCAUGCAGCUUAUUGACUGUAUGGUAGGAAUAUAACGACUGGGAAGUGCAAGCCUCUGACAGUCCUUGCUUACAGCAUAGAAAGAAGAAAGUCAAGGCACAAACAAGUACUAUACUGUCAUUUCUGCCAUGUCCUAGAUGCUCCAUUUUCCCACCUCUAAAGCUGGAAAGGUACUACUGACUUUCAUCACCUGUUUAGAAAAAAUUAACCCAGAUACAGAAAUAAAUUACUUUUUAAUUUUCAGAGGCAAAGCACUACAUCUGUCUUGAGACAGAUAAAUUCAGCAGUAUGGGGAUUAAAAAAAAAAAAAAAUUAAAAAAAAAAAUAUCAUGAAAUACUGUAAAGACCAGAUUUCCUUAGAAGAGAUGAAGAUAGUCAUGUUACUUUGGAGUACCUCAGAACCCCAUGAAAACCUGUUUCUACUGUAAAAUAGUAAUAAAAAUACAACAUUGAUUACAUUCAAAAUUUUUCAUUAAGAGCUUUAUUCUUAAAUGCCUCUUGAAGUGUUUUUGACAGUCUCUCCUCCUGUUGGCACCUGCUGAUAUGCUCAACAGCAAAGCUACUUGGAUAUCCCAUGAACUUAUGAAAAAAAUAAAGGCUUCUUUUAACAGGACUCACAAAUUUGUGACUUUCCAUUUUCACAAAGAAACAGACAGUGAAGUGACUGGUGCUUGUAAUUCUGCAUUCACAUGCUCCAGACAUCGAAAGUGCGUAAUAGGCUGAAGAGCAUACUCCUUUUUAGUUGUGCAAGAACUAGAAGCCAUAAGCCAACAUACAGAAACAUCAGUAUAAAUAAAGGAAAACAUCAGAACAGAUCGUCAAACAUCUUUAAAUAAAACAAAAAUCUUACCCUGGGACCCAGCCAGAAGCUUCCGUUAUGUGUGUCUGGGUGACCAUUGUUGGAGCUGGGUUAUAUGGACUCCCAAUCAGAACACUCCCUGAAUUGGCCAGUCUUUGUGAUGUGCUUAUGAUCUAUGAAAAUCAGAAAUAAAAACCACAGAUCUCUUAAGAAAACAGAGGUUACCACAGCGCAAAAUCCAUCCUAAGCAUGGUACUAAGAAAAAAAAUAAUAAUUCUGUACCAGAUGCAAGCUGCAGUCAAAAUAUACAGAACAGAUGUCAUCAGAAGACCUUCAUACAUGAAAGCAAUUACAGUGCUGCUAAGUUUUCUACUAAUUGUACCAUAUUACUGUAUAAUUCAUGUGGACAAGAUCUAGACAAAUAGAAAUAAUUACUAGGUAUGGCAGAUAGACCUGUACCUAUAUACAACUAGUUGUUUGUUUGAGAGUAUGUCUAGACAAUUUCUUGAUCACUGUAAUCAAUCAAUAAAGCCUCCUUUGCAAUG